CAUUCACGGAGAGUUUGAUCCUGGCUCAGGACGAACGCUGGCGGCGUGCUUAACACAUGCAAGUCGAACGAUGAACCACUUCGGUGGGGAUUAGUGGCGAACGGGUGAGUAACACGUGGGCAAUCUGCCCUGCACUCUGGGACAAGCCCUGGAAACGGGGUCUAAUACCGGAUACAACCACUGACCGCAUGGUCGGGUGGUGGAAAGCUCCGGCGGUGCAGGAUGAGCCCGCGGCCUAUCAGCUUGUUGGUGAGGUAGUGGCUCACCAAGGCGACGACGGGUAGCCGGCCUGAGAGGGCGACCGGCCACACUGGGACUGAGACACGGCCCAGACUCCUACGGGAGGCAGCAGUGGGGAAUAUUGCACAAUGGGCGAAAGCCUGAUGCAGCGACGCCGCGUGAGGGAUGACGGCCUUCGGGUUGUAAACCUCUUUCAGCAGGGAAGAAGCGAAAGUGACGGUACCUGCAGAAGAAGCGCCGGCUAACUACGUGCCAGCAGCCGCGGUAAUACGUAGGGCGCAAGCGUUGUCCGGAAUUAUUGGGCGUAAAGAGCUCGUAGGCGGCUUGUCACGUCGGUUGUGAAAGCCCGGGGCUUAACCCCGGGUCUGCAGUCGAUACGGGCAGGCUAGAGUUCGGUAGGGGAGAUCGGAAUUCCUGGUGUAGCGGUGAAAUGCGCAGAUAUCAGGAGGAACACCGGUGGCGAAGGCGGAUCUCUGGGCC
rnacentral:rRNA from 1 species